rnacentral:lncRNA from 1 species
AGGGAAUUGAUCAACAUAUCACACCCUAAAGAGUCCUUCUAUUUGAAGACUCUCAGAUAAGUGAUACGAGGACCUGAUAUGCUUUUUCAAAUGAGGUGUGACUUUUUUGUUGGCACCCAAUCAUGUGCUAUAAAAAGGGGAUGACAGAUGGAUUGAUCACUUAAUGCUUACAUCCCCUAUCCACUCCCUUUCUCCCUGUCUUACAACUC